AGAGUUUGAUCCUGGCUCAGGACGAACGCUGGCGGCGUGCUUAACACAUGCAAGUCGAGCGGUAAGGCCUUUCGGGGUACACGAGCGGCGAACGGGUGAGUAACACGUGGGUGAUCUGCCCUGCACUCUGGGAUAAGCUUGGGAAACUGGGUCUAAUACCGGAUAUGACCGCAUGCCGCAUGGUGUGUGGUGGAAAGAUUUAUCGGUGCAGGAUGGGCCCGCGGCCUAUCAGCUUGUUGGUGGGGUAAUGGCCUACCAAGGCGACGACGGGUAGCCGACCUGAGAGGGUGACCGGCCACACUGGGACUGAGACACGGCCCAGACUCCUACGGGAGGCAGCAGUGGGGAAUAUUGCACAAUGGGCGGAAGCCUGAUGCAGCGACGCCGCGUGAGGGAUGAAGGCCUUCGGGUUGUAAACCUCUUUCAGCAGGGACGAAGCGUGAGUGACGGUACCUGCAGAAGAAGCACCGGCUAACUACGUGCCAGCAGCCGCGGUAAUACGUAGGGUGCGAGCGUUGUCCGGAAUUACUGGGCGUAAAGAGUUCGUAGGCGGUUUGUCGCGUCGUUUGUGAAAACCCGGGGCUCAACUUCGGGCUUGCAGGCGAUACGGGCAGACUUGAGUGUUUCAGGGGAGACUGGAAUUCCUGGUGUAGCGGUGAAAUGCGCAGAUAUCAGGAGGAACACCGGUGGCGAAGGCGGGUCUCUGGGAAACAACUGACGCUGAGGAACGAAAGCGUGGGUAGCAAACAGGAUUAGAUACCCUGGUAGUCC
rnacentral:rRNA from 1 species